UACGUAGGGUGCAAGCGUUAAUCGGAAUUACUGGGCGUAAAGCGUGCGCAGGCGGUGAUGUAAGACAGAUGUGAAAUCCCCGGGCUCAACCUGGGAACUGCAUUUGUGACUGCAUCGCUGGAGUACGGCAGAGGGGGGUAGAAUUCCACGUGUAGCAGUGAAAUGCGUAGAGAUGUGGAGGAAUACCGAUGGCGAAGGCAGCCCCCUGGGAUAACACUGACGCUCAUGCACGAAAGCGUGGGGAGCAAACAGG
rnacentral:rRNA from 1 species